rnacentral:rRNA from 1 species
UUGACCUCGGAUCAGGUAGGGAUACCCGCUGAACUUAAGCAUAUCAAUAAGCGGAGGAAAAGAAACCAACAGGGAUUGCCCUAGUAACGGCGAGUGAAGCGGCAACAGCUCAAAUUUGAAAUCUGGCUCUUUCAGAGUCCGAGUUGUAAUUUGCAGAGGGCGCUUUGGCUUUGGCAGCGGUCCAAGUUCCUUGGAACAGGACGUCACAGAGGGUGAGAAUCCCGUACGUGGUCGCUAGCUAUUGCCGUGUAAAGCCCCUUCGACGAGUCGAGUUGUUUGGGAAUGCAGCUCUCAAUGGGAGGUAAAUUUCUUCUAAAGCUAAAUAUUGGCCAGAGACCGAUAGCGCACAAGUAGAGUGAUCGAAAGAUGAAAAAGCACUUUUGGAAAGAGAGUCAAACAGCACGUGAAAUUGUUGAAAGGGAA